UACGAAGGGGGCUAGCGUUGCUCGGAAUUACUGGGCGUAAAGGGCGCGUAGGCGGAUGUCUAAGUUGGGGGUGAAAGCCCGGGGCUCAACCUCGGAAUAGCCUUCAAUACUGGAUAUCUUGAGUUCGGGAGAGGUGAGUGGAAUGCCGAGUGUAGAGGUGAAAUUCGUAGAUAUUCGGCGGAACACCAGUGGCGAAGGCGACUCUCUGGACCGUAACUGACGCUGAGGCGCGAAAGCGUGGGGAGCAAACAGG
rnacentral:rRNA from 1 species